AUGGAUAUGAUGAUUAUUUCCCUAGAUGAUCGAAUCUGAUAUAACUGAGCGUUCAUUUUUUGUUUCUUCUUCUGGAGAAAAAUCCAAGCCAGAAAUCUAAUCCGU
rfam:Helianthus annuus linkage group 12, whole genome shotgun sequence.